UACGUAGGGUGCGAGCGUUAAUCGGAUUUACUGGGCGUAAAGCGCGCGUAGGCGGUGCGGUAAGUCAGGGGUUAAAGGCUGCAGCUCAACUGCAGUAAGGCCUUUGAUACUAUCGCGCUAGAGUACCAGAGAGGAUGGCGGAAUUCCCGGUGUAGCGGUGAAAUGCGUAGAGAUCAGGAGGAACACCGAUGGCGAAGGCAGCCCCCUGGGCCUGUACUGACGCUCAUGCACGAAAGCGUGGGGAGCAAACAGG
rnacentral:rRNA from 1 species